ensembl:lncRNA
AUAUAUAUAUAUAUAUAUAUUAGUUAACAUUAAUAAACCAUAAGUAAUGUUAAUGCAUAUUAUUUAAGGUUUCUUCAAUUGUGUCCUUUCUACCUGUUUAUUUCAUCCACGACAAAAAUAUCCACAUUAAUAAGAAAACUAAAGAAUAAUUUAUCGCAUGUUUCUGUAAUGUUACAUGGUUUAUUAUUUGAAAAAUCAUCAGUUAAUACAAGUGUUAGCUACUUUUUUGAUGUUACUGAAGCAAAACUUCAGUAUUAAUAUGAAGCAUUACACAGAUUUUAAGAAACUGAAAGAAAUACACAAUGUGCUUUGUAAACUGUAUGUCUAAACCUAAUAAUAAUUAAAAAAAAAAAAAAAAAAAAAAAGACACCAGAUGGUUAUUAAGGCCAAGAAAUGCUUUCAGAUUUUUCUCUUCCCUUCAAGUUUUUGCCCCCUUGCACCCCCCCUUCCCCUUCCCCUUCGUGUACCUGCUCAGAACUGGAAGCGCACUAAAACGUAAAUGACAAUGACAACGACAACGUAAAUAUAUCCAAUUACACAAAACAUCACUGGCAGUCAAUCAAUGAUCAGCUCGGAUGAUGAUUGAUGGACAUUGUUCUGGAGAUGAAGUAUAAAUCAAUGUGCAUUAGUAUUCUGCGUCAGAGCUGCUUCUUUACUGCUUUGAAUAGUGAUGACUUUGUGCAUAAAACUGUCCGGUCUCUCCAUCACAGUUGUUACGGUAUUGUUGAAUGAGGAUUAAUCAAUAUUUCAGAUUAUAGAUGCUGUAAGACCUUGAGUCAACAUCGUUCUGCUUUAGGAGACACAGAACCCCGUUCAAAAGAUCUGGAUAAUCAAAUAUCGUAAGUGAGACUGUAUGAUGUGGAAGCCUGAGAUUUACACCCCUGUGUGGUAGUGUCUCAAACAAUGUCUCAAAAUGAGUCGUUCACGUUUUCUAUUCAAAUGUGAUGUCACAUUGGAACAGGCCCCGCCCAUGAGUGCGACAGACUCCGCCCUAUUUGCAUAGAUCCUCCCCGAGUGAGCUGAACGCAGUCCGCCACAUUCUCCACGCUGGAGCAACUCUUAGCGUAAUGAGUGAUAAGAAGAAUGUCUCAGCUUCGUAACCGUCCUAAGCGUGCCCCAAAAAAUAGCUAAAUUCGUAUACGUUUGUUCGAAUAAUCUUACACCAGACUGCUUUGUGAACGAGGGUCAAUACAAAGCAGGAUUUGCCGAAAAGUUGAUUCUCAAAGAUGGAUCAGUACCAACUGUUCGUGAUUCAGCUUCAUAUCCAGAACACGUAAGCAUCGCACUUUAUAUUAUGAAUGUUUGCAAAUCGCCUUCAGAAUGUGCUUGUUAGCAGAUUUCGCGGCUAAAAGGUUACCAUUGUCUCUGAUUGUAUUCACAGAGACCAGAGCUAUGUCGUUAUUUUUAACCUGAAAACGCUUACCGUCUGUAUAAUAUUCAUACAUACAAGGAUGAACCGGUAUUUACGGUGUCAGUCAUAAUGGUUCUACUGAUUUGCUUAUGCCAUAGUUGCAGAGGUGUAAAGGCACAGCCCUAUUCUAGAAAGGGGGCGGGCACCAGCAGCUCAUUUGCAUUUAAAGAGACAAGGGCAUUUACAGCAUGGUAUAAUAAAUAAUCCGUGGGGUAUUUUGGGAUGAAACUCUACAGACACAUUCUGGGGAGACCCGAGACUUGUAUUACAUCUUGUAAAAAGGGGCAUAAUAGGUCCCCUUUAAAGCUACACAGAACCUAUUCUGCAUCACGUUUCAACUAUAGCAAGGAGCACUGAAGCUAUUCUGGUGGCCCAACCCAUUUUUCCUUUAAUUUGUC